CUUCCACAGAUUUUCAGAAAGUGACAGAAAAUGACUCCUGUUGUAAAGAAUACCAUCGAAUGCAUAGUGUUUCCUGAAGCAGAACCUGACAUUUCAGGUUCAUACAGUUCGGGUAGGGCACACGCACACGUGCACACACACGCACAGAGUGCAUUUUAGAAGUAAAAUAAUAUUGAGUGAACAUACAUCCUGUGGAGAGAUUGUCGAGUCUUUCUUAAAUCACGGAGCUAACUGAGGUUUUGAUUAAUGCUGAAGAGAGGCCUGCUUUUCCUGGCCCUCUUAUGAGCAAUGAGAUGCUGAUGCAGGACCUGAUAUGGUUUAUCCAUUUCCAAGCACACGAGCGUUACAAAAAAAACGAUGAACGUGACCAAGUGGAGGCCUAUAUCUUCCGGCAGAUAACGGAAUUGUUCUGCCGUGGAAAUGGAGUAAGUGUUAAUUGAUCGUUUAAGAAAAGUUAAAAUAGUUAAACCCAUUUAGAUCACAUUCGUUGUUUGUUUGUUCUGAAUAAUGUGCUCGUAUUCAGUUACAUCUCCAAUACUAACAACAGAUGUGUUACCUAACGGUAUUUCUUUUACAGGAAGUGAUGAUGUGUGAAGUCGCCACAGUCUUCUUCCACGUCUACAGCUGGCUUAGGAAGAAACGAACAAAUGUUAGUAUAUCUCACAUCAGUAUCAGCGUCUGUCUGUAUAUGACUGUGUAAUUUUGCAUUGUUUUUGCCAGCACCGUGGUAACUAAUAUGACCAUUUCAGUGCGAAGGUGGUAACAGAUGGAAGGCAUGGUGUCGUCCUCUGGCAGAACCUUUGUGCUCCUCUCCACCAGAUGAUGAGCACAGAGAGGCUCUGAUUAAGAUGGGAGAUGAUCUUGCCUCCAGAAGAUGGACCUACGCAGCACAUCUCUGCUACGUUUUGGCCAAAGUGGAGCUGGGGUCACGUAGUCAGUUCGAACUGAUCGGAUGUGACGGGUAAUGUGUGUGUGUGUGUGAGAUAUUCUUCCAGAAUUUCUACUGACAUAUUAUUCUAUUUGCAGCAGAGUGCCAUUUGGCAUACAAGUCCUGUCUAAAGCCCUCGUGAGAACCGAGACGUAUGAAUACGUGCUGUCGCUGACCUCAGGGCUGUACCAGCCAAACUUCCAGAGCUGGAAGUUCUGUCAGGCCAAG
ensembl:lncRNA